rnacentral:rRNA from 1 species
GACGAACGCUGGCGGCGUGCUUAACACAUGCAAGUCGAACGGAAAGGCCCUGCUUUUGUGGGGUGCUCGAGUGGCGAACGGGUGAGUAACACGUGAGUAACCUGCCCUUGACUGUGGGAUAACUUCAGGAAACUGGGGCUAAUACCGGAUAGGAGCUCCUGCUGCAGGGGGGGGGUGGGAAAGUUUCGGCGGUUGGGGAUGGACUCGGGGCUGAUCAGCUUGUGGGUGGGGUAGUGGCUUACCAAGGCUUUGACGGGUAGCCGGCCUGAGAGGGUGACCGGCCACAUUGGGACUGAGAUACGGCCCAGACUCCUACGGGAGGCAGCAGUGGGGAAUAUUGCACAAUGGGCGGAAGCCUGAUGCAGCAACGCCGCGUGCGGGAUGACGGCCUUCGGGUUGUAAACCGCUUUCGCCUGUGACGAAGCGUGAGUGACGGUAAUGGGUAAAGAAGCACCGGCUAACUACGUG